rnacentral:tRNA from 1 species
AAUAGCUCAGUGGUAGAGCAUCGCCUUGCCAAGGCGAGGGUCGGGAGUUCGAAUCUCCUUU